rnacentral:rRNA from 1 species
UUGAACGCUGGCGGCAUGCUUUACCCAUGCAAGUCGAACGGCAGCGCGGGCUUCGGCCUGGCGGCGAGUGGCGAACGGGUGAGUAAUGCAUCGGAACGUGCCCAGUAGUGGGGGAUAGCCCGGCGAAAGCCGGAUUAAUACCGCAUACGACCUGAGGGUGAAAGCGGGGGACCGAAAGGCCUCGCGCUAUUGGAGCGGCCGAUGUCGGAUUAGCUAGUUGGUGGGGUAAAGGCUUACCAAGGCGACGAUCCGUAGCUGGUCUGAGAGGACGACCAGCCACACUGGGACUGAGACACGGCCCAGACUCCUACGGGAGGCAGCAGUGGGGAAUUUUGGACAAUGGGGGCAACCCUGAUCCAGCCAUGCCGCGUGCGGGAAGAAGGCCUUCGGGUUGUAAACCGCUUUUGUUCGGGAAGAAAUCCUCUGGGCUAAUACCCCGGGGGGAUGACGGUACCGGAAGAAUAAGCACCGGCUAACUACGUG